GAUAAGAUGGCUGAAAGUUUUAGGUAGUAAAUUGUAAAUUUAUUUAUGGUUAAUAUAAACCUCUUAUCA
rnacentral:tRNA from 1 species